rnacentral:rRNA from 1 species
CCUACGGGAGGCUGCAGUGGGGGAUAUUGGUCAAUGGGGGAAACCCUGAUCCAGCGACGCCGCGUGAGUGAAGAAGUAUUUCGGUAUGUAAAGCUCUAUCAGCAGGGAAGAAAGAAAUGACGGUACCUGAGUAAGAAGCCCCGGCUAACUACGGGCCAGCAGCCGCGGUAUUACGGAGGGGGCAAGCGUUAUCCGGAUUUACUGGGUGUAAAGGGAGCGUAGACGGUAAUGCAAGUCUGGAGUGAAAGGCGGGGGCUCACCCCCCGGACUGCACUGGAAACUGUUUAACUGGAGUGCAGGGGAGGCAGGCGGAAUUCCUAGUGUAGCGGUGAAAUGCGUAGAUAUUAGGAGGAACACCAGUGGCGAAGGCGGCCUGCUGGACUGUAACUGACGUUGAGGCUCGAAAGUGUGGGGAGCAAACAGGAUUAGAUACCCUAGUAGUC